GCGUUUAUGAUGUAAUGGUUAGAAUAGCCGCCUUCCAGGCAGCCGAUUCGGGUUUGAUUUCUGAUAAACGCA
rnacentral:tRNA from 1 species